ACCAGCUUCUCAAANGGGGCGGCUGCACCCGUUCCCAUUCCGAACACGGCCGUGAAACGCCCCUGCGCCUAUGGUACUUCGUCUUAAGACGCGGGAGAGUCGGUCGCUGCCAGGU
rnacentral:rRNA from 1 species